rnacentral:rRNA from 1 species
GACGAACGCUGGCGGCGUGCUUAACACAUGCAAGUCGAACGAUGAAGCGGUGCUUGCACCGUGGAUUAGUGGCGAACGGGUGAGUAAUACGUGAGUGACCUACCUUUGACUCUGGGAUAAGCCUGGGAAGCUGGGUCUAAUACCGGAUACGACCAAUCUCUGCAUGGGGUGUUGGUGGAAAGCGUUAUGGAGUGGUUUUAGAUGGGCUCACGGCCUAUCAGCUUGUUGGUGAGGUAAUGGCUUACCAAGGCGACGACGGGUAGCCGGCCUGAGAGGGUGACCGGCCACACUGGGACUGAGACACGGCCCAGACUCCUACGGGAGGCAGCAGUGGGGAAUAUUGCACAAUGGGCGCAAGCCUGAUGCAGCGACGCCGCGUGAGGGAUGACGGCCUUCGGGUUGUAAACCUCUGUUAGCAUCGAAGAAGCGAAAGUGACGGUAGGUGCAGAGAAAGCGCCGGCUAGCUACGUG